UACGUAGGGGGCGAGCGUUGUCCGGAUUCAUUGGGCGUAAAGAGCUCGUAGGCGGCUCAGUAAGUCGGGUGUGAAACCCUCAGGCUCAACCUGGGGACGCCACUCGAUACUGCUGUGGCUAGAGUCCAGUAGAGGAGUGUGGAAUUCCCGGUGUAGCGGUGAAAUGCGCAGAUAUCGGGAGGAACACCAACGGCGAAGGCAGCACUCUGGGCUGGAACUGACGCUGAGGAGCGAAAGCGUGGGUAGCAAACAGG
rnacentral:rRNA from 1 species